GGUGGCUCAGUAGUGGUAGAGUGCUUGCCUUGCAUGCAUGAGGCCCUGAGUUUGAUUCCUCAGCACCA
rnacentral:tRNA from 1 species